CUCCGGCUCCGCCCUGGAGGGCUCCUGCGCCUGUUUCACAGACUUCUUUGUGCCUAGCCCUGAUAUCUGUUUACUGUUGUUUUGACCCUGCCUGUUCGACCAUGUCUCUGUCUCGUCCCUUCAAUAAAAGCUUGCAUAUGGAUCCGCUCGCCUCUCGCCUCUCACUCUCUGUUACAUUAUCAUUAUUAAAACCCCCUGGGGUCGAAAAACGCACCGGCGCAGUUUGUGGCCGUUUUUCUGAUAAUGUCAAAAAGAACUUAAAUUACUCCAUCAUUUUUGAUCGUGCAGAUAAGAGCAAUACAUCAAUGGAAUCUGUAAGGAAUUCACUUUUAUUUGUGUACACUCAUAAUAACAACAACACUCUGUGGUUUUGUGAAAUAAAGCAAACAAACAGGGUAUGCAGUCUGCUGUGUUGUUCUCUGUGAUUGUCAUUAAGAAAUGCCUCACUAAAAUGAACUAAAACUCAGCGAAUACUCAGAGACGAGAGAGAUAUCUAUAGAAAGCCUGAUAUGUCUACUUUUAAAUGGAGUAAGUCUUAUCGAAAACAAAUAUCAUGUGUUAAAGUAAUCUGUAUGAAACCAACCCCAUGUCCAGUCUUUCUCCUCAGACCUAAUUAUUUUUAAUUUGAUCACGCCCACAAGCUACUUUCGGUUUGUUAUUAUAAUCAGCCACGUGGAGGCGCAAGCGGCGAACAGCCCACAUCAACGUAAACAAAGCGGGAGACUUCACUUCAUUGUUUAUCUCGGCUACUUCAUCUUGUUACUGGAAGAAGACGCGCUGUGAGGAGAAAGAUUUCCCUCAGAAGAAGAGCACGAUGCGACGCACGGCGAGAUCCACCGAAAGAGUAAGUCUUUCUUUUAUUAGCCUACUUACGUUAGUUGUUGUGUUACUGUGAUAUAACUUGUAGACAUUAUAGUAGUUAGAUUUUUUUCCAAACUAUACCCACCCAGCACCAGACGUCAUUUGGACGUCGUUUUUUGGGGCUAAAUCACGUCGGCCCGUCAUGGACUUCUUUUAGCCCAAAAAUCGACGUUGAAAAUUGGUGGUUGUUUGGUCCGUCGGAUUUAGUCCUAAUUUAGCCCAAAAAUCGACGUCGAAAAGUGGUCUUUGUUUGGUCCAUCUAAUUUUGGUCCAAAGUUGCCCUAAAAUCAACGUUGAAAAUUGGUCAUUGUUUGGUCCGUCGAAUUUAGUAGUAAUUCACAUCCGGGAUAUUUCCUCGUGUGCGCGCCUCACUCAUUUGAAAUACUUUUUACAGACGCCAUUUUCUUUCCUCGCGAUGCGGAGCAUAUGAGGAUGGGAAACAACGAAAUAAGGUGUUUAAUCUUAACUAAACUAAACUUUUCUCAAAUACAUUUUUUUCCACUCGCCAUGCGGAACAGACGAGAGCGCUGUGUAAUUAACGUUACCCCUAAACUUUUUCUCAGAGAGGUAACGGUAUUUCCUUUCACUCGCGAUGCGGAGCAGACAGGGCAGUUCGUUUUUAUCAAGGAAAACACAGAAAAUAAGUGUUUUACCUCAUUUACAUUAUGUAUAAUAAUUAUGACCACCAUAUUUCUGUGUUGUGCUCUCCUGAACUUUUUCUCAGAGAUAUUUUCUUUCAAUCACGAUGCGGAGCAGAUGGGAAAGUUGGUUUUAUUAAGGAAAAGUGUUUUACUUAAUUUACAUUAUGUGUAAUAUUACUGUAUGAUGAUAUUAAUAUGCUGUGUGCACCUAAACAUUUCUCAUAGAUCUGAAUUGCUAUGCAGUGCUGAGGUGGAGGUCACUUUUAACAGGGAAACACUAGAAGUAAGUGUUUUAUGUAAUUUAAAAUAUGUAUUUUAUAACGUCAUAUUGAUUUAUAGUGAUGUUUAUGUGCUGUUCUCUCCUAAACUUUUACUCAGAGAGAUAUUUUCUUUAAAUUACAACAUGGAGCAGACGGGAAAGUUGGUUUUAUAAAGGAAAAUGCCAAAAAUAAGUGUUUUACUUCAUUUACAUUAUGUGUAUUAUUACUUCAUGAUGAUAUGAAUAUGCUGUGUGCACCUAAACACUAGAAAGGAAAACACUAGAAGUAAGUGUUUUAUCUCAUUUAAAAUAUGUAUUUAAGUAAGUGUUUUACUUCAUUUACAUUAUGUAAUAUUACUUUAUGAUGGCAUUUAUACAUUCUGCAUGACAUCUGCUUGCUUUAAUGGGCACACACACUGAACAUUCAAGUCUGGAGCAGAAGGAGUUACCAUGGAAAUGGGGCGGAAACUCAACUGUCGAGCAGCAAAACACAUCUUCCACGGUUGUUUUCACAAAUUUCAGAAAUGGUUUAUUGUCUUCAGAAAAAGUCUGUUAGCAUCUGAACUGUAAUGCUAACUAUAAGAGUAUUAAGAACUAUAUUAACAUUACUUGCUGUUUUGCUUUUUUUUUUUUAUAAAGGUUUUGCAGGCAAUUUGUCAUUGGGUGAAAGGAAGUAAGCUAAUUUAUUUAACCUAGAAGUAUGCAAUAUACGGUUAAUCAGAUACAUAAGUACUUUAAGCAUGUUUUGACCUUUCAUGGUAAACAAAUAUUGAUUCCACUUGUCCUGUGACUUAAGCAGUUUCAGAAAAAAACUUCUACUGAUUUUAAAAUUUCUGAAGGGAGCUGCUGACAGAGAUAUAAAAAACACAGGUGAUCUGAGAAAGCUUAGUAAAUUACUUUAAAUGUAUCUUUCAUAAUAUAUUUAGCCUAUAUCACCAUGCAUAUGUAAUUUUCUUUUGCAAAAUUAUAUGUAUCUAUAUAUUUUAAUGUUUGUUUGCUUGUUAGAUAUUUUAAAAGGACUUUAACAUACAAACAUAAUGCAUUUUAAUGCUGUGUGUAAAUAUCAGUAGUGAUGCUGUACAGUGAGGAUGGAAAUAGUGUGUAGUGAGCCACUGUCUUUAUCAAUGUCUGAAUUUGUAAUCACAAUUUAUCAGUUCACAACCUAGCAAACUAUUAAGGUGAUUGAGACGCACCCUCUGUAUGGCAGUGGACUUUGAGGGCCAGAGUUGAGAAGAACCCCUGAUACACUAAUUAAUCACUCAUGGAGAAUGAUUACACUUUCAUUUGAACAGAAAUAUGUAAUUUUUGACUCAUAUUCAGUGAUGUUAUUAUUUUCUAUUCCUUUUUGUGUCAAUCACAGCUAAAUAAAACCAAAGUCCAUUCAGCUACAGGUGACUGCAUCUUUUGCUGUAUGCUGGAGAAAAAGCAGCCAGGCUGAAGCAUUUAAAGUGGAAACUUUUGUCGUGGCUCACAAUUCCAGGAUUGGGAUGGUGGAAGGAGCAGAAGAACCAGAAGACCAGAGAUCAGGCAGAGAUUUACUGAUGCCCCUGAGGGAACUGUUUAACUAAUGUGUUAAACCAAACAUUUUCAGCACUCAUCCUUCAUGUCUUUCCAAACCUGUAAAACUUUUGGAAAGGUAGUAAAGACUGCAUUAAAGUAAGCCAUGUGACUCCAGUUGUUUAAACUUAAUUUUAUGAAGUGAUGUGAAUGGUUUAUAUGCACAAAAAACAUUGCAUUUUUAUUCACACACACAAACAAAAAUCUUAUGGUGCUUUUGUGAAAAUGUGUUGGAGAUACCUAAUGUAUGAAUAAAGAUGUAAUUUUGUUGUUGCUGUUUUUUGCAUACACAAGGCAUCUGUUAAAAAAAUAUCUUUAUUUGUAUUCUGCACAAAAGUUUUUUAUGGGUUGAGUGACAUGAGAGUAAGUAAUUAAUGGCAAAAUUGGCAUUUUUUGGGUGAGAUGUGUUCUAAUGUGGUUAGAAUUGGUCAUUGUCCUGUGUUAUAAACAUUUUCAGUAUUUUCAAAGAUGUUUUGAAAAAUCAGUUUCAAAUAAAUACUGAAUGGAGUAAUUAUGAUGACAAUGUAGUUCACAUGAAUAAAUGACCUUUCACAAUGUAUUCAUAUAGAAAACAGUUAUAUUUUAGAAUUUUACUGUUUUUACGGUAUGUUUAAUCAAAUGCAGGCUUAAUUUGUGAUCAGGAAAGUGUUUUUUACUUGAAAGAUGUAUUUAAUGUGUCAAUAAAUGUUUUAGUACUCUUUUGUGAAUUGUUUAUUUUGAAUAUGAAAUGAAUAUAAUCAUGAAUUUACGGUUGAAAUUCGGCCUGAAAAAGACGUCUUUUUAACUUUCACUUUACAACCAUAUUUAGACGGAAUUUGGACGUCUUUUUAUAGACGUCUUUUCGUCUUUCACUUUUCGACCAAAUUUUCACGUUGUUUAGACGUCUGGCAUUGUCGUCCUUUCGACGUCUUUUCGACAAGUUUUUGCUGGGUG